AUAACCGCGGGAAACUGCGGCUAAUACCGAAUACGCCCUUAGGGGGAAAGAUUUAUCGCCAUCGGAUGGGCCCGCGUAGGAUUAGCUAGUUGGUGAGGUAACGGCUCACCAAGGCGACGAUCCUUAGCUGGUCUGAGAGGAUGAUCAGCCACACUGGGACUGGGACACGGCCCAGACUCCUACGGGAGGCAGCAGUGGGGAAUAUUGGACAAUGGGGGCAACCCUGAUCCAGCCAUGCCGCGUGAGUGAUGAAGGCCUUCGGGUUGUAAAGCUCUUUUGGCGGGGACGAUGAUGACGGUACCCGCAGAAUAAGCCCCGGCUAACUUCGUGCCAGCAGCCGCGGUAAGACGAAGGGGGCUAGCGUUGUUCGGAAUUACUGGGCGUAAAGGGCGCGUAGGCGGUCUUGUCAGUCAGGCGUGAAAGCCCUGGGCUCAACCUGGGAUGUGCGCUUGAUACUGCAAGGCUUGAGUGCAGGAGAGGAUGGUGGAAUUCCCAGUGUAGAGGUGAAAUUCGUAGAUAUUGGGAAGAACACCGGUGGCGAAGGCGGCCAUCUGGACUGCAACUGACGCUGAGGC
rnacentral:rRNA from 1 species